GCGAGGCGUCCCCUCGGCGGCCGCCUCAGUUUCCCUGGCCGUAAACCGCAGGCGAUCGCGCUCCGUGCCCCGGGAGACGCCGGGGUCCGCGGGCCCUUCCAGCACCAGGUCUCUCCUUCGGGUUCGGGGGCCCGGCUCCCUCCGCGCGGGGCAAGCGCGGCGAUGAGAUUGGUCCGUGCUGCGCUCGGCCCCGCUUUCACUAUCCCUCUGCCCUAACGGCAGCAAAAUCAGCAGACGAGCCCCGAACUUGCAUGUGGCCCGUACACUCCGGCCGUAAAAAUGAAAAAGACAGGGAAUAUUCGCUUGUGUACAGCCUUUCCAGGGCAGUGCAGAAAUACGUAGUUCCAAAGCGUUAACGAUGUGCAAUUUGCAUAUCCUCCGUCACAUGGAUUGUACUAAUUCCAUGAUGGAUGUAUGCAAAGAAUUUGCUGUUCGCUAUAUGGGAACACUUUCAGUUCCCCAAGUUAAAACAUGAAAUUGCACAUCAUCAUUUGGAUCCCUAAAGAGGAAAAGAAAAAUUCACAACCUGCCAGUGAAAUACUCAGGCCACUUGGAUGAAGACCAAGGUCCUUUCCAUAAAAUCCAGGUGUUAUUUACUAACUAAUCAUAAAUGAAUAUCAAAAUGGGACUUAAAAAUAACAAGGCUGUGUUAUAACAGCAGUCUUUCCAGUUGUGUAUGCUUUACUAAUCUAAAUUGGGUAACAGAACCGGAGAAAAGGAAGACUACACAGAUUUAUCAUAAGCCAUUAGUGAACAUGAUAGAAAUGCAUAAUUUGUUAAAGUGAAUUAUGGCUCUGAUUUGUCAAAUGAGGAGGUUAAUUAUCCUAGGAUUUGCUAUGCUGUUGUGGUGUUAGAAGAUUGGAUCUUUAGCAGCAAAGGUAAUAUCAACAAUAUUUUCUGCUUAAGAAAGUGCCUUGGUUAAGGUAGACCAUGAUAUCGUUUUUGACUAAGCUCUCUGGGCUAUUGAUUCUGUCAUAUUCCAAAGGCAGUAUUGGUUUGAGGCUGAAUCUCACGGUCAAUGUCAAUAUGCAAAACCCACAAAGACCCUGACGCCCCUCCACGGUAUGCACUUCCCAAAAGUUUCUCACUGUGAAAUCCUUUUUUUUAAAAAAAAAAAAAAAAGAAAAAAUCUUACUGUGAAUCCUUUCCCAUGGAAUGGUCCCACCUUUACCUCGGAAAGAGGCGUGGCUUGCUCUGCGAGCAGGUCCACCUUGAGGAGACCACAGGCGCAAGAGCUCUGCUUGCAGAACACACAGGGGGAUUUUCCCACAUUCUUACUGGAGUCAGAUUCGGCAAAGCAUUUCAAGCAACUGCUGGACACUUCAAAUACCACUCCCUGUUAACAACGCCCUGAGUAUCUCACUGUCUCCAGGAUGUGGUCUAAAGGGAAAAACAGAAAUGGCCAACAGCUCCCUCCCCAGGCAGGACUGCGAUUUCACAGACAACAUAUAGGCAUCCCCAGUUUGGUGAAUAAACAGGAGAGUGAGAGGAAAACAGCAAUCAUUCAACUCCAGUAGAUGUAAAUCCUCCAGAAGAAUGUGUCCUGGGGAGGUCAGAAAUGUCAUUUUUUUCUCCAGCACAUUUCAUCUGCCACAUUCCGCCGUCCGAUGUUUGAGGAAGGAGCCCUGCCUUUCCUUCAGGGGCUCUUGUCGCCAAGUUUGAUGGUGACAGUUUUCACUUCUGUGUAUUCGGCCAAAGCGUAUUCACCUCUGUGAUCACAGAAAAGAGGAAAAUUCAAAAUGGGUACAUCCCUUAGCCAUUGUGUAGAAACUGUUCUGAUGCUUCAUCAUUCCAUCAGGCCAUUGGAGGCUUAUGCAAAAGGUCAAAAUGUGACGACUUCAUGGAAUAAUAGCCAGGACUAUAACACCACUAGUAAGUGUCAGUAGCUGCAUAUGUGACUUAAAUGUAAAUAUCGAGGUCUUCUUGUGUGUGAUGCUUUUGAAAUGGCCAGGACUAAGGGUUUACCUUUAGAGAAUGAAGGGGAUUUCAAAAAAGUAAAGAGGUGAAUUCCCUGGGGUGGCAAUAGAGAGCAAAAAGAGAGGGCCUGGUGGAUGGUGGGGUGUGUGUGAACAAGGGAGGAGCAGAAAUUACACUGGGUUUAUAACUUUUAGAUAGCAAUUGGGAGCUGCUUGAAGAGGAGACAGAAGAGGCAGAGGCCCAAAGCUAUUGGCUGGGGAUGUGGCCAGAGGACCAGAGGGAAGAACACCAAGGGCCUGAAGUUGGCCUCAGAGUGCACAGCUGGGGACCAGCUGUCAGACAGCGAGGCCAGCCUGGGGGCGUGUGGGAAGCAGACGUUAGCACAGACUGGACACGGGGAGGCCACAGCCUUUGGGUUCACAUCCUUGGUAUAGUUCCUUUCUUUAAAUCUUGCAGGGCUCAGGUGAUCCUUCCCUGGCACCAUGGGCUGUCUUCAGGGUAGCUUCCCUUCCAAGACCCAAGAGGCAGCUUUGGGGAGAUUUAAAUCCCUCUAAGCGCUUGAUCUGCUGUCAGGUGAAGAAAAAUGUGUGCUUGUUUAGGAAGAGAUGAAGGGAGAGGUGGCCACUGGAGUCUCUGUAGUUAAAAAGACCUGUGACAGAAUCCCAUCUCCUCCCUUAGAUCAAUGGUUCUCAAAGUGUGGUCCCCAGACCAGCAGCAUCAGCCUCACCUCUGAACUUGCUAGAAACAUAGAUUCUCAGACCUCCCCCAGCCCUACUAUCAUAGGCAGAAUAAGGAUCUCCCCAAAGGUAUCCAAAAUCGGAUCCCCCAAACCUGUGAAUACAUUGGGCUACAUAGUGAAGAAUUAAUGUUGCAGAUGGAAUUCAAGUUACUAAUCAAUUGACUUUAAAAGAGGGAGACUAUCCUGGAUCAUCCAGGCAGACUCAAUGUAAUCACAAGGGUCCCUAAAACUGGCAGAAGAAGAGAGGCAGAGCAAAAUGAGAUUAUAGAAACAGGUUCAGAGAGCAGCAGUGCUGGCUUUGAAGACGGAGGAUGGGGCCACCAGCCUAGGAAUGCGAGCAGCCUCUAGAGGAUGGAAAAGGCAAGGAAGCAGAUUCUCUCCUGAGAACCUCCAAAAAGGAAUGCAACCCUUGAUUUUAGCUCAGGGAGACCUGUGUCAGAUUUUUAUCCUACAGAACUAUAAGAUAAUAGAUUUAUGUUAUUUAAGCCACUGAUGUUAUGGUAACUUCUUAUAGGAGCAAUAAAAAACUAAUAAACUUACUGAAUCAGAAA
rnacentral:antisense_RNA from 1 species